AUGAGGGUCCCCACCAUGGCCUGGACGUUACUUCUUCUUGGGCUCCUUGCUUAUGGAUCAGGAGUUGAUUCUCAGACUGUGGUAACCCAGGAGCCAUCACUCUCAGUGUCUCCAGGAGGGAGAGUCACACUCACUUGUGGCCUCAGCUCUGGGUCAGUCUCUACAGGUAACAAACCUGGCUGGUACCAGCACACCCCAGGCCAGGCUCCUCGCAGGAUUAUCUAUGACACAAGCAGCCGCCCUUCUGGGGUCCCUGAUCGCUUCUCUGGAUCCAUCUCUGAGAACAAAGCUGCCCUCACCAUCACAGAAGCCCAGCCCGAGGAUGAGGCUGACUACCACUGUUCGCUGUAUAUGAGUGGUGGUGCUUACACAGUGAUUUAA